UUGGAGGGCAAGUCUGGUGCCAGCAGCCGCGGUAAUUCCAGCUCCAAUAGCGGUAUAUUAAAGUUGUUGCAGUUAAAAAGCUCGUAGUUGAAUUUCGGGAUCAACAUAUCGGUCGUGCCAUUGGUACGUACUGGUAUCAUUGGUUUCUCCUUUCUGACGAACCAUGAUGUCGUUAAUUUGGUGUUAUGGGAAGUUAGGACUGUUACUUUGAAAAAAUUAGAGUGUUUAAAGCAGGCUUUAGCUUGAAUACAUUAGCAUGGAAUAAUGAAAUAGGACGUUCGAACCUAUUUUGUUGGUUUCUAGGAUCAACGUAAUGAUUAAUAGGGAUAGUUGGGGGCAUUAGUAUUCGAUUGUCAGAGGUGAAAUUCUUGGAUUUAUUGAAGACUAACUACUGCGAAAGCAUUUGCCAAGGAUGUUUUCAUUAAUCAAGAACGAAAGUUAGGGGAUCGAAGACGAUCAGAUACCGUCGUAGUCUUAACCAUAAACUAUGCCGACUAGGGAUCGGAUGAUGUUAAUUUUUUAAUGACUCAUUCGGCGCCUUACGGGAAAC
rnacentral:rRNA from 1 species